rnacentral:rRNA from 1 species
CGCCUCUUGAGUAAAAAUAAGAGGUCCAGCCUGCCCAGUGACACUAGUUCAACGGCCGCGGUAUCCUAACCGUGCGAAGGUAGCGUAAUCACUUGUUCUUUAAAUAAGGACUAGUAUGAAUGGCAUCACGAGGGUUAUACUGUCUCCUCUUCCUAAUCAGUGAAACUAAUCUUCCCGUGAAGAAGCGGGAAUAUAGCUAUAAGACGAGAAGACCCUAUGGAGCUUUAAAUUUCUCUUCAACUGCCCCUCCCCCUCCCCACGUCUUUGACUUCUUACAUUUACUUCGGCAUCAUGAAGAUGAAUUUUAGGUUGGGGUGACCGCGGAGCACAAAAUAACCUCCACAUUGUAUAGGCCUAAAACCUUGAGCAAAGAACAACAAUUCUAUGCACUAAAACAUUAACACCCAUUGACCCAAUACACUUGAUCAACGAACCAAGUUACCCUAGGGAUAACAGCGCAAUCUUCCUCGAGAGUUCAUAUCGACAGGCAGGUUUACGACCUCGAUGUUGGAUCAGGGUAUCCCGGUGGUGCAGCCGCUACUAAUGGUUCG